GCGAUCUGAAGGAGAUAGCGGCCU
rnacentral:piRNA from 1 species